rnacentral:rRNA from 1 species
GAUGAACGCUGGCGGCGUGCCUAAUACAUGCAAGUCGAGCGAACAGACGAGGAGCUUGCUCCUCUGACGUUAGCGGCGGACGGGUGAGUAACACGUGGAUAACCUACCUAUAAGACUGGAUAACUUCGGGAAACCGGAGCUAAUACCGGAUAAUAUAUUUAACCGCAUGGUUCAAUAGUGAAAGACGGUUUUGCUGUCACUUAUAGAUGGAUCCGCGCCGCAUUAGCUAGUUGGUAAGGUAACGGCUUACCAAGGCAACGAUGCGUAGCCGACCUGAGAGGGUGAUCGGCCACACUGGAACUGAGACACGGUCCAGACUCCUACGGGAGGCAGCAGUAGGGAAUCUUCCGCAAUGGGCGAAAGCCUGACGGAGCAACGCCGCGUGAGUGAUGAAGGUCUUCGGAUCGUAAAACUCUGUUAUUAGGGAAGAACAAAUGUGUAAGUAACUAUGCACGUCUUGACGGUACCUAAUCAGAAAGCCACGGCUAACUACGUG